rnacentral:lncRNA from 1 species
UCAUGAUGCAGUGCAGAGCAAGGAAGAGGGAAAGCUGUGCUGCAGAUCCCAGAGCUCAGGUUUAACGGCCUUUUCUAAAGUGGUGACUGAAGGAGCCAGAAGACACCAAACCAGGCAACUGUGACCACUGCAAGCUCCACAACACUGAAUGUUGGCUCUGGAACCUGGCUCUCAGUUCCCAACCAGGAACCAAAAGUGCUAGAAAUACUUCUAAGGGAUGUCUGCAUAGCCAAUUGUCCAAUUUCACAGACUUUAAUGGCUUCUACUGGAACUUCUGUCUGCCAUGCUCCAAACCAGACACAGUAAAUGACAACGACAGAAAGCCAAGGUCUCUGUAUAAUAUUAUUCAAUCCUGUUAUCUUGGUUAA